UCGAACGGAGUUAUAUUGUAGCUUGCUAUGGUNUAACUUAGUGGCAGACGGGUGAGUAAUGUAUAGGAAUCUACCUAGUAGUACGGAAUAAUUGUUGGAAACGGCAACUAAUACCGUAUACGCCCUACGGGGGAAAAAUUUAUUGCUAUUAGAUGAGCCUAUAUUAGAUUAGCUAGUUGGUGGAGUAAUAGCCUACCAAGGCAAUGAUCUAUAGCUGAUCUGAGAGGAUGAUCAGCCACACUGGAACUGAGAUACGGUCCAGACUCCUACGGGAGGCAGCAGUGGGGAAUAUUGGACAAUGGGCGAAAGCCUGAUCCAGCCAUGCCGCAUGAGUGAAGAAGGCCUUUGGGUUGUAAAGCUCUUUUAGUGAGGAAGAUAAUGACGGUACUCACAGAAGAAGUCCUGGCUAACUCCGUGCCAGCAGCCGCGGUAAUACGGAGAGGGCUAGCGUUAUUCGGAAUUAUUGGGCGUAAAGGGCGCGUAGGCUGGUUAAUAAGUUAAAAGUGAAAUCCCGAGGCUUAACCUUGGAAUUGCUUUUAAAACUAUUAAUCUAGAGAUUGAAAGAGGAUAGAGGAAUUCCUGAUGUAGAGGUAAAAUUCGUAAAUAUUAGGAGGAACACCAGUGGCGAAGGCGUCUAUCUGGUUCAAAUCUGACGCUGAAGCGCGAAGGCGUGGGGAGCAAACAGGAUUAG
rnacentral:rRNA from 1 species